UGAGUUGGUCAGAUGAUCGCUGAUUUUUCAGAGGAAAGUCCGGACUUCUUAGAGCAGGGCGCCAGGUAACUCCUGGGAGGUGUAAGCCUACGGAAAGUGCAACAGAAAAUAUACCGCCAUUAUUUAUGGUAAGGGUGAAAUGGUGAGGUAAGUGCUCACCGCUUAAUUGGUAACAAUUAAGGCAUGGUAAACCCCGCCUGGAAGCAAGACCAAAUAGAAAUCCGUUAAGGCUGCUCGCUUAGGAUUUGGGUAGGUUGCAUGAAUAUUAUGGUGACAUAAUAUCUAGAUAGAUGAUCAUCCAAGACAGAAUCCGGCUUAUAGACCAACUCAUCUU
rfam:SAR86 cluster bacterium SAR86B genomic scaffold Contig_0, whole genome shotgun sequence.